rfam:Zootermopsis nevadensis contig2462, whole genome shotgun sequence.
GCCACGGUGGUCUAGCGGUUAGAACGCUGGCCUUGUACUCCUGGGGUCUCGGGUUCGAUUCCCGGCGGUGCCC